ACGAACGCUGGCGGCGUGCUUAACCCAUGCAAGUCGAACGGAAAGGCCCUGCUUUUGUGGGGUGCUCGAGUGGCGAACGGGUGAGUAACACGUGAGUAACCUGCCCUUGACUUUGGGAUAACUUCAGGAAACUGGGGCUAAUACCGGAUAGGAGCUCCUGCUGCAUGGUGGGGGUUGGAAAGUUUCGGCGGUUGGGGAUGGACUCGCGGCUUAUCAGCUUGUUGGUGGGGUAGUGGCUUACCAAGGCUUGACGGGUAGCCGGCCUGAGAGGGUGACCGGCCACAUUGGGACUGAGAUACGGCCCAGACUCCUACGGGAGGCAGCAGUGGGGAAUAUUGCACAAUGGGCGGAAGCCUGAUGCAGCAACGCCGCGUGCGGGAUGACGGCCUUCGGGUUGUAAACCGCUUUCGCCUGUGACGAAGCGUGAGUGACGGUAAUGGGUAAAGAAGCACCGGCUAACUACGUG
rnacentral:rRNA from 1 species